rnacentral:misc_RNA from 1 species
GUUACAUUGGAAAUAGACAAGUAAUUAAUGAAUUGCCAAUGAAACAGACUAAAAGACUGUUGAACCCGUCAAGUACUCAGCUUCAUUACAAAUAGUUCCAGUUUUUCUCACAUCUCUCCCUUUCAAUUCAUAUGGAAUCUGAGAAACCCUGACCAAAUUAUCAUCACGAACACUGCAGCAGUUCUUACAGAACAAGUUAAAAAUACCCUUUCGCAAACCAGACCCAGCAGCAAGAUUUUUAGACAACUGAGCUUUCUUAUUAGUGCUCUUAGUGCACUCCUUAUAAGCUGCCAAGAAAGGAUCAUCCUGUUUUCUAAAACUUCUGCUUGAAGAACUUCUGGAAGGAGGCUGAAACGUGCAUGGAGGAAGAGGAAUUUGGAUGUCAUGGGCUGAAGCCCUAGGGCUUCCGAUCGGACAUGGAGGUGGUGGAAGCUUUACAAAGUCUUCUUCACUAGGAUACCGUUGGAUGACGACCUUGGAGACCCCCGGCUUCUUCUCCCAAGAGAAGGGUACAUUUCCUUUUGGGUGAGCUUUUAUUUGAUUCAUGUUGUAGCAAAAAAUUUUGGCGAAGGAACUUGAG